GCUUGGUGGAUCAGUGGCGAACGGGUGAGUAACACGUGAGCAACCUGCCCUGGACUCUGGGAUAAGCGCUGGAAACGGCGUCUAAUACUGGAUAUGAGACGUGAUCGCAUGGUCGUGUUUGGAAAGAUUUUUCGGUCUGGGAUGGGCUCGCGGCCUAUCAGCUUGUUGGUGAGGUAAUGGCUCACCAAGGCGUCGACGGGUAGCCGGCCUGAGAGGGUGACCGGCCACACUGGGACUGAGACACGGCCCAGACUCCUACGGGAGGCAGCAGUGGGGAAUAUUGCACAAUGGGCGGAAGCCUGAUGCAGCAACGCCGCGUGAGGGAUGACGGCCUUCGGGUUGUAAACCUCUUUUAGCAGGGAAGAAGCGAAAGUGACGGUACCUGCAGAAAAAGCGCCGGCUAACUACGUGCCAGCAGCCGCGGUAAUACGUAGGGCGCAAGCGUUAUCCGGAAUUAUUGGGCGUAAAGAGCUCGUAGGCGGUUUGUCGCGUCUGCUGUGAAAUCCCGAGGCUCAACCUCGGGCCUGCAGUGGGUACGGGCAGACUAGAGUGCGGUAGGGGAGAUUGGAAUUCCUGGUGUAGCGGUGGAAUGCGCAGAUAUCAGGAGGAACACCGAUGGCGAAGGCAGAUCUCUGGGCCGUAACUGACGCUGAGGAGCGAAAGGGUGGGGAGCAAACAGGCUUAGAUACCCUGGUAGUCCACCCCGUAAACGUUGGGAACUAGUUGUGGGGACCAUUCCACGGUUUCCGUGACGCAGCUAACGCAUUAAGUUCCCCGCCUGGGGAGUACGGCCGCAAGGCUAAAACUCAAAGGAAUUGACGGGGACCCGCACAAGCGGCGGAGCAUGCGGAUUAAUUCGAUGCAACGCGAAGAACCUUACCAAGGCUUGACAUACACCAGAACGGGCCAGAAAUGGUCAACUCUUUGGACACUGGUGAACAGGUGGUGCAUGGUUGUCGUCAGCUCGUGUCGUGAGAUGUUGGGUUAAGUCCCGCAACGAGCGCAACCCUCGUUCUAUGUUGCCAGCACGUAAUGGUGGGAACUCAUGGGAUACUGCCGGGGUCAACUCGGAGGAAGGUGGGGAUGACGUCAAAUCAUCAUGCCCCUUAUGUCUUGGGCUUCACGCAUGCUACAAUGGCCGGUACAAAGGGCUGCAAUACCGUGAGGUGGAGCGAAUCCCAAAAAGCCGGUCCCAGUUCGGAUUGAGGUUU
rnacentral:rRNA from 1 species